rnacentral:rRNA from 1 species
CUACGGGGGGCAGCAGUGAGGAAUUUUGCGCAAUGGGGGAAACCCUGACGCAGCAACGCCGCGUGAGUGAUGAAGGCUUUCGAGUCGUAAAGCUCUGUCAAGUGGGAAGAACCUGUUUGAUGUUAAUAUCAUCAAGCACUGACGGUACCACUGAAGGAAGCACCGGCUAACUCCGUGCCAGCAGCCGCGGUAAUACGGAGGGUGCAAGCGUUAUUCGGAAUUAUUGGGCGUAAAGGGCGCGUAGGCGGCCUGUUAAGUCAAAUGUGAAAGCCCGGGGCUUAACCCCGGAAGUGCAUAUGAUACUGGCAGGCUUGAGUAUGGGAGAGGGAAGUGGAAUUCCUGGUGUAGCGGUGAAAUGCGUAGAUAUCAGGAGGAACACCGGUGGCGAAGGCGACUUCCUGGACCAAUACUGACGCUGAGGCGCGAAGGCGUGGGGAGCAAACAGGAUUAGAUACCCUCGUAGUC